rnacentral:rRNA from 1 species
AUGAGCUGUUUUUGGCCUCCGGUGGCCACGUGUGAGAAGUUUCGUCAGAUUAUCUCAGACCAUUGGUGGGGCAGGGAAGAUGGGAAUAAGAAACUGCACUGGCGGUCCUGGAAGUGGCUCACUACGCCAAAAUCUCUUGGGAGAAUGGGCUUUCAUGAUAUGACGCUUUUUUAUCAAGCUAUGCUUGGGAAGCAAGGAUGGCGCUUACUUACAGAACCAGAUUCAUUAUGUGCCCGGGUUCUCAAAGGGAGAUACUUCCCUCAUGGAGACUUUUGGAAUGCUACAGCUCCUCGGUCUGCAUCAGUCACGUGACGAGGCAUCGUUUAUGGCCGGGAACUUCUGAAGCAAGGGAUUUUUCGGGGAUUGGUGACGGUAAAGGCACUCAUAUAUUGUCUGAUCAUUGGAUCCUUUCUUUUCCUCCUGGCAUGGUUAGGACAACCUCGCCAAUCCCGGAAAUAG